AUGUCUUUGUUGAAAGUUCUGCUGCGGCUUUCCACAAAUAGGAACAGCAAAAUAACCCUGGUCAUACUCUGUUCGUUCUUCUCUCCUACACUGAAUCUAGAUGAUACACUAACUCUUGAACCAAAGAUUUUGUCAUUGGACUGUGGACAUGCUGGGGCACCACAGUUAUAAUGACUGAGAAGAACAGAGAACAUAAUUUAAAUGUAAGGAUACACAGAAGGAGAUGCUGAAAUGUUCCUGGCU